rnacentral:sRNA from 1 species
GCUAGGCGCGCCGUCCCCAGCCCCGCCGCCGGCCCUCGGUGCGCCCGGCCGCCUGCGCCCCAAGGAGCAGCUGCUGUGAAUAAACACAGAAGUGGAGCUGGGGGGCUGAUUAGAAGCCUCAUUCAGUGCACCUGGGCCCCAGCAGGCCCAGCCAGGCGUGGAGGAAGAGGCAUUGAGGACUUUCCUUACCUGUUUUUCCAGCUCACCCACUGCCAGCAGAGAUUCAUUGGCCUGCCCCUGAGCCGGUGGCUGGGUGUGAGGGAUCAGACCAGGAGGCAGGUGAAGCCCAACGCCACGCUGGAGAAACACUUUCUCACGGAAGGGCACAGGCCCAAGGAGCCCCAGCUGUCCCUCCUGGCCGCCCAGUGUGGCCUCACGCUGCGGCAGACCCAACGAUGGUUCCGGAGACGCCGGAACCAGGAUCGACCCCAGCUGACCAAGAAGUUCUGUGAGGCCAGCUGGAGGUUUCUCUUCUACCUGUCCUCCUUCGUGGGCGGCCUCUCGGUCCUGUACCACGAGUCAUGGCUGUGGGCACCAGUAAUGUGCUGGGACAGGUACCCAAACCAGACUCUGAAGCCAUCCCUGUACUGGUGGUACCUCUUGGAACUGGGUUUCUACCUCUCACUGCUAAUCAGGCUGCCCUUUGAUGUCAAGCGCAAGGAUUUCAAGGAGCAGGUGACACAUCACUUUGUGGCAGUCAUCCUGAUGACCUUCUCCUACAGCGCCAACCUGCUGCGCAUUGGCUCUCUGGUGCUGCUGUUACACGAUUCCUCCGACUACCUGCUGGAGGUGGGCCCGACCCCUGCCUGACCCUUCCCAACUGCUGUACCCAGCCCUCCCAGGUGCCCCGGAGAUGAGGUCCCAUUCCUCCCA